UGUGUCAUAUCGUGUACAGCUCCAAAAAGAGGCACUAGUCAUGAGUGCCGAAGGUGCGGGCCCACAGAAGUGAGUCUUUCUGCAUACGCAAAGCACAUUUCUGGCCAGCUGCACAAAGAUAACGUUGAUGCCCAGGAAAGAGAAGAUGAUGGAAAAGGAGAGGAAGAGGAAGAAGAUUAUUUUGACAAGGAACUCAUUCAAUUAAUAAAACAAAGGAAAGAACAAAGUCGACAAGAACCUUCCAGUAGCAGCCAAGAAGUAAAUUCUGAUGACAGGUGACCCCAAUGGAGCUGAGAACACCAAAUUCCUCACCAACACAGACAGAGUUACAGUCAGCCAGCAUGGCAUCACCCUGGACCUCCACAGGAGGAUUGUAAUUGGAAAAAAGAUCGCUUUAAUAAUACAUGGAGAAACAGCUUUCUGUAUUCUUUGAGGAAUAGUGGUGGACCAAAAGGAUGUUCUGAGUGGCAUUAGAGUGUUGCAGGAGGCUCCUUGACUUGGUUUCACAACCAUAGUAAUUCUGGAGUUGGUUGGCAUUCAAAUAGUGGAACAGUAGAUUGGAAUCAUAAUGGUACAGGAAGGAAUUCCAGUUGGCAUUCUGAGGGAACAGGUGACUUUUCCAGUUGGCAUAUGAACAACAGUAACGGAAACUAGAAAUCCAGUGUAUGUAGUAAAAAUAAUUGCAACUAAAGUGGCCCUGGACAUAAAUUUCAACCAGGCAGAAACAGAAAUUCUACUUGUCAAAUGGAAGAUGUGACUAUGCUAUGGAACAAGAAAUCAAAUAAGUCAAGCAAAUACAAUCAAGAAAGAUAUAAUUGGUAGUGUCAAGAAAAUGAGAAACUUGGAAUGACAAACUUUGUACGGCUGCCACAUAUAGAGGUCCUUCUGAAAGAUUUACAAGUGAUAAAUUUCCUUCGGAAGGCUUACUUGACUUCAAUUUUGAGCAGCCAGAAAGCCAAACCACUAAACAAACAGACACUGCAACUUCCAAAAUUAGUGGAAAGAACAGCAGUGCAGCAACGGGGAAAGCCUUGUUGCCAGACUCCUUACCCUUCUAAAAUAAAAAUUAAAAAGGAAAAAGAUUUGGUAGUACUCAAGUUGAAGGAAGGAAACAUGACAAACUUAGAGGAAGCAUAAGGAAUUUCAUAUGCACUUCUU
rnacentral:lncRNA from 1 species